rnacentral:rRNA from 1 species
CUUGGGACCGGCAUAACCCCGGGAAACUGGGGAUAAUUCCGGAUACUGCAUAUAUGCUGGAAUGCUUUAUGCAUAAAAUGGAUUCGUCUGCCCAAGGAUGGGUCUGCGGCCUAUCAGGUAGUAGUGGGUGUAAUGUACCUACUAGCCAACGACGGGUACGGGUUGUGAGAGCAAGAGCCCGGAGAUGGAUUCUGAGACAUGAAUCCAGGCCCUACGGGGCGCAGCAGGCGCGAAAACUUUACAAUGCGGGAAACCGUGAUAAGGGGACACCGAGUGCCAGCAACAUUUGUUGGCUGUCCAGGUGUGUAAACUACACCUGUUAGCAAGGGCCGGGCAAGACCGGUGCCAGCCGCCGCGGUAACACCGGCGGCCCGAGUGGUGAUCGUGAUUAUUGGGUCUAAAGGGUCCGUAGCCGGUUUGGUCAGUCCUCCGGGAAAUCUGACGGCUUAACCGUUAGGCUUUCGGGGGAUACUGCCAGGCUUGGAACCGGGAGAGGUAAGAGGUACUACAGGGGUAGGAGUGAAAUCUUGUAAUCCCUGUGGGACCACCUGUGGCGAAGGCGUCUUACCAGAACGGGUUCGACGGUGAGGGACGAAAGCUGGGGGCACGAACCGGAUUAGAUACCCGGGUAGUCCCAGCCGUAAACGAUGCUCGCUAGGUGUCAGGCAUGGCGCGACCGUGUCUGGUGCCGCAGGGAAGCCGUGAAGCGAGCCACCUGGGAAGUACGGCCGCAAGGCUGAAACUUAAAGGAAUUGGCGGGGGAGCACAACAACGGGUGGAGCCUGCGGUUUAAUUGGACUCAACGCCGGACAACUCACCGGGGGCGACAGCAAUAUGUAGGCCAAGCUGAAGACUUUGCCUGAAUCGCUGAGAGGUGGUGCAUGG